rnacentral:misc_RNA from 1 species
UGCAGGAGCUGCCGAAGGUUGCGAUCUUUUGACUUUGAUUUUUAAGAUCAAAAGAUCGCAGCCUUCGGCAGCUCCUACA